CAGUCGCCGCGGGAAUACGUAGGUGGCAAGCGUUGUCCGGAAUUAUUGGGCGUAAAGGGCUCGCAGGCGGUUUCUUAAGUCUGAUGUGAAAGCCCCCGGCUCAGCCGGGGAGGGUUAUUGGAAACUGGGAAACUUGAGUGCAGAAGAGGAGAGUGGAAUUCCACGUGUAGCGGUGAAAUGCGUAGAGAUGUGGAGGAACACCAGUGGCGAAGGCGACUCUCUGGUCUGUAACUGACGCUGAGGAGCGAAAGCGUGGGGAGCGAACAGGAUUAGAUACCCGCGUAGUCCCUGUCUCUUAUAC
rnacentral:rRNA from 1 species